rnacentral:lncRNA from 1 species
ACAGGCAGGAUCUCUCUCUCACUCUCUUCCUCCCUAAACAGGCAGGAUCUCUCUCUCUCUUCCCUAAACAGGCAGGAUUUACACCCCUUCUGGUUCUCGUGUUCAUCGAAGCUCCAGUUUAGUUGUUGGCCACCAGUCAAAGAUAACAGCUGUACACUUUGUAGUGUACACUUUGUAGUAUGCAGUGUACACUUUGUAGUAUGCAGUGAACACUUUGUAGUAUGCAGUGUACACUUUGUAGUAUGCAGUGAACACUGUGUAGUAUGCAGUGUACACUUUGUAGUAUGCAGUGAACACUUUGUAGUAUGCAGUGUACACUUUGUAGUAUGCAGUGAACACUGUGUAGUAUGCAGUGUACACUUUGUAGUAUGCAGUGAACACUUUGUAGUAUGCAGUGAACACUUUGUAGAAUGCAGUGUACACUGUGUAGUAUGCAGUGUACACUUUGUAGUAUGCAGUGAACACUUUGUAGUAUGCAGUGAACACUUUGUAGAAUGCAGUGUACACUGUGUAGUAUGCAGUGAACACUGUGUAGUAUGCAGUGUACACUUUGUAGAAUGCAGUGAACACUUUGUAGUAUGCAGUGAACACUUUGUAGUAUGCAGUGAACACUUUGUAGUAUGCAGUGAACACUUUGUAGUAUGCAGUGAACACUUUCUAGUAUGCAGUGAACACUUUGUAGUACGCAGUGAACACUUUGUAGUAUGCAGUGUACACUUGUUAUGUCUUAAUAAUUAGCUGCUACAAACCAAACAGUUUGAAAAGCUUUGUGUCUUUUAAACGUCCUCAUAUCAACUCAGUGUUAUCACAUUCACCAUUUAUUAACAUUUAGUUCCUGUAUUUUAAUUGUACAUUUAUUACCCUAAAGAUAUAUUCUGAGGGAUGUAGAUUUGACAUAAACACUCAUCUUGGAACACGUGUUCGUAAAGACCAAGUGUUUUAUUGAGAUACAUUAUAAUGUCUAAUCAAUUUAUUACAUGGGAUAUUUACCCUUAUUGAGAUACAUUAUAAUGUCUAAUCAAUUUAUUACAUGGGAUAUUUACCCUUAUGAAAUACAUUAUAAUGUCUAAUCAAUUUAUUACAUGGGAUAUUUACCCUUAUUGAGAUACAUUAUAAUGUCUAAUCAAUUUAUUACAUGGGAUAUUUACCCUUAUUGAAAUGCAUUAUAAUGUCUAAUCAAUUUAUUACAUGGGAUAUUUACCCUUAUUGAGAUACAUUAUAAUGUCUAAUCAAUUUAUUACAUGGGAU